ACAUAGGGUGCAAGCGUUGUCCGGAAUUAUUGGGCGUAAAGAGCUCGUAGGUGGCUCGUCACGUCGAAUGUGAAACCCUGAGGCUCAACCUCAGGCCUGCAUCCGAUACGGGCGAACUGGAGUGUGGUAGGGGAGACUGGAAUUCCUGGUGUAGCGGUGGAAUGCGCAGAUAUCAGGAGGAACACCAAUGGCGAAGGCAGGUCUCUGGGCCACUACUGACACUGAGGAGCGAAAGCGUGGGGAGCAAACAGGAUUAGAUACCCUGGUAGUCCACGCUGUAAACGGUGGGCACUAGUUGUGGGAACCUUCCACGGUUUCUGCGACGCAGCUAACGCAUUAAGUGCCCCGCCUGGGGAGUACGGUCGCAAGACUA
rnacentral:rRNA from 1 species